CGGGGGCGGGGCCGAAGCGCG
rnacentral:miRNA from 1 species